CAUAUGACAUCCUCAGUGACUACAGCUUUCCUAUAGGGCUACUCCCCAAGGGAGUUAUUGGCUAUGAUCUUGACAAGACAACCGGUAAAUUUUAUGCAUUCUUGAAUGGUACUUGCAGCUUUUCUCUUGAAGGAUCUUAUCAGAUAAGAUACAAGUCAACCAUCAAAGGGUACAUAUCUAGAGGGAAGCUUUCGAGCUUGGAGGGUGUUAGUGUGAAGUUGUUUUUCAUGUGGAUUGAUAUCAUUGAGGUGUCAAGAAAUAGGGAUGAUCUGGAAUUCUCUGUUGGGAUUGCUGGUGCUGGAUUUCCUAUUGAUAAUUUUGAGGAGUGUCCCCAAUGUGGGUGUGGUUUGAAUUGUGGAGAUCAGAGGAAAGUCAGCAAGUUCAGAUCUAACCCUUUUGUAUCUUCUUCAUAGGGAAGCAUGAAUCAAAGAUUUCAAUCUCAUGAAAUGUUUUUGUUGGAAUUCUUGAUUGUGAUUAUUGUUU
rnacentral:misc_RNA from 1 species